rnacentral:rRNA from 1 species
GACGAACGCUUGCGACGUGCCUAAGAAAUGCAAGUCGAACGGGGUAGCAAUACCUAGUGGCGAACGGUCGCGUAACACGUGGGCAACCUGCCCUGAAGCGGGGGACGAACAAGUCGAAAGAAUUUGUCUAAUACCGCAUGUGUCUCGCUGCGGCAUCGCAGAGGAGACAAAGACCGCAAGGCACUUCAGGAUGGGCCCGGCCGGCCUAUCAGCUUGUUGGUGAGGUAACGGCCC